CGUUGACAGUCAGGAGGUGUUUACGUAUCGAACGUGUUCAAUUUAUGAUACAGAGUUAUCUGAACGUUUGAGUUUAUUUGUGUGGUUUUGAUUUGUGCAGCUUAAUAAAAACGAGAUAUAAAACUGAUAAUCUUACGCUAGAGGAAUAAGAUCCGGCUAUUCUAAAUUGCGGAUUGCCGGCUAUCAUACUAUCGGACAUGCAACACGUGUGUAUCCGCCCCAUUCGACUAGUAAGCUAUUGGCAUUGAAAAAAUCCCUGCUAUGCAACCGCCGUCCGGUAGCAGUAGAUGACUCUAUGUGUAAAAGUUUGCAGCAAGGUUCCGUCGCAAUUACGAGUUCAGCAACCGGAACCAACAUGUUACUGUGAAAAACUUCAUAAGUGCAGAUGAACAACGACACCAAGAUACAGCAAACGAGGAAGAGCCAUAAUGGGUGUCGGCAGGACAUACCUCUCGCCUGGGCACAAUCGAACUUUGUGGAUUCGAUGAAGAUACUUCAAUCAAGGUCUCGCCAAUCGAUUAGUCGCCGAAUGCUCAUAAAAAACAACGUUGAGAAUGCAACUGAUCCACCACAAAUGCAACAACAGCACAAAUCAACCCAACAGCCGCGUUAUCCAUCCCAACGUGAGCUUCAGUUCCAUACCCAAUCCAUAAUGCAGAACGCUUUACUCCGUAAAAAACUGCAGAAUCAACGCAAGGCGCUUUGUGAUCAGAACAGUCGAAUUGCUGCCGCUACCGCUGUGAUUAACAACGGUGAACCAAAUACAGUUCGGCAGCAAUUCGUACAAUCGAUGCGUCUAAACAUGCAACGAAGUUUUUUGGUUCUUAGUUAAACUGCUAACCGGCCGGUGACAAAUAUCCUAAUGGUACAUAUUUCUCUGCAAAGCCGACUGCAGGAGCAACUACUCUCCGUCACGCAAAAAUUGUGUCAACAGAAACGUGGUCCCAUGAGCGCUAGAACUCCUUAGGAAACAUCGAAUUCUACAGAUCAAUUCUUACAUGUUACGAGAGAACUGGAUUCUUACAAUGCAUUUACCAGUGCAGAAAUGAUUAUAUUUGCAACAUUCAAAUUUAGUUAUGUUUUGUACUAUAUAUUACCGUUCCUCAUGAUUGUAUUUUUAUGUGUUUGUGGUUUUUCUUAAUAACGUGCUUCGUUCCAUCAUUGUUAUAUUUUUUAUACAAGCGGAAUUUCGAUACAAAUUCUCACUGUCUAAUUUAUAUUCUGCAAAAUUGCACCGAUUGAUUUGUCGUUAGGUUUUCCCUUCAAGUUUAUUAUUAUAAGACGAUUGUAAAUUAUAGAAACGAAUGUUAAUUUUUUUUCGCUUUGUUAUACAUAUCUUCGUUCGACAGUCUUUCGCUGAGCGCUUCGAGGUAAGUUGCACAUUUGGCGAUCCUGCCACUUUUUUUAAAAAAAAAGAACCGAAUGGAAUCCUCCAUGCGCAAGCUGAUUUAUUUUCUAAUAAAAAUGCCACGCUUAUAGCAAGCGGAUUGGGACAACCGCAUCGCUCAAUUAUUCCGAAAGUGAAAAGCUGGAAGAUGCGCUUUAAUCGUUUCAAAACGACGCCUCUGUGAAAAUGCAAAGCUGAAAAUAUUCUGCAAUCGUUUAAAACGACGCCAUUAUGAAAAUGCAAAAAAAAACUGAAUCUGUUGCCAAUAGCCAAUAUCGUUACAAAACGAAUCCGUUGCUAAAAUGAAAAUCUGCUGCAAUUGUUUCAAAACGAUGCCAUUGAAAAAAUGCAAAACUGCAAGUUUGAGCGAACUGUUUCAUACCGCUUUAAUAUCACUGCAAUACGACAGCAAAAGUGGAUUGUUUUUGCACUUUAUAAAAUAGCUAAAUGCUAUUCUUGAAUUGCCUAGCAACAAAAUGCCUUAAUUAUCGAAAGCUCCACAUACAGCCUUUCUAAAGGAAAGCUGGUGCCCCAGUGUUUCACAACUAAUACUGUCUGCUGCAUAUUGCAGGUCAAAAUCAAGGGGUUGCUACGACGGCCGCCUUAUAGCCCACAUAGAAAAUCAUGAACAUAGAAAUCAUAACCUAAAAUUAAACAAAAUGUGCUUCGUGACAUCCUGCUGCAGUAUUUUAUUCGCAAAUCGCAAAAUAAAGCGUCCGGAUGGGUAUCCAAAUAUCCGAAAACUAUACAACGUAAUCAUUGGCUACAGGCCAUUGCAAAUCCUGAGCAUAUUUGCAUCAAUAUUGACUCCAAACAAUAAACAAUGUGCGAGUCCUAGCUUUAUGCUGUCUACGCUCAAAUUGUGUUGGUUGGGAUAGUGUUGCCAAGGCCCUGGUCAAAAUAAUUAAUUUCUACAACAGCAUUUCCGAAAGACUCGGACCAUAGCAAACGGCAGAAAGUUUGGUUGAAAGACCAUGAAGAUCGACGAUGAAACGACGCGAAAGGCAAAGCCGGUUUUAUAACAAAAACUAAAACUAAACUAAAAAUCAAUUGGACUAAUCUAGAGGAAAUUUCAGUCUACCAGCAACAUAAAAUCCAUCAUUUCUGAAAACAUAAGUACGGCGAACGCGCUUCCAAGGUGCAACAACAUUUUCCAUCAGAAUUUGCUGUGUUCCAUCGUUCAUUUAUCCUUCAUCCAGAACCCGCAAACAAACAAACAUACUGCAGUCGAAUAGAACAAAUUAUACAACGGGCCACAAAGCGCUUCGAUGUGGAAUCCUAAAGCGAAGGAAAUAUAAUUAACAAUAUAAUUAACGAAAAACUCAGGACCCUCAUUGACCAUCUUUGUGUUGUUACAGAAUAGCUACGUCCACGCAACAUAUAAAUUACCCAACAAUGAUCAUUCAACUGUCUCCGCUGUCCGGUGGUCCAACUGGAUAAUGGAAGAACAGAUAGAAUACUCUUACGCCUAAAUGGCUACUGUGUGAAUGUACCAUAUGUAAUGGUAUAGAAGGAAUACUGGCGAAUGGCAACUGUGUAAUGUGCUAAUUAUAGAUAUAUGAUAACCAUGUGACAUGUACACGAUUAAAAAUUCGGCUCUGUUACAGCUUAAAUGUUAGUGAGCCUUAAAUAAAUAAAUGGGAUAAAAAAAAAAUUAACGAAAAAGUUUUUAUUGCACUACCAAUAAUCCGUUGAAAUUUCAUCAAUUUGGAAGUAGCAAAAGCCACCUACACUAUCGAAUCCGCAAAUCCCUUAGAUUUUCUCAUCGAUACUCGAGAUGAUGCCAAUGUCAUCGGCUGCAGCGAUCGUAUGCUCAUGAAAUGAAAUUAUUUCGUGAAGCUCUAGGUCACCACAUUCCAUGCUGCCCCAGAAGGUAAUAUAUUGCUGUUAGGCCAGUCUACUGCAUAUCAGAACGCAUAUUAUAACGGUGACGAAAGCUCCCCUCUUUGGAUGAAUUACAUGUUUGCCAAAGGCAAGUCUUCUGAUUAUGCAGUUAUCGUUCCGUGUCAAUCACUCUAUAGAGGAUAUUCCGUCAUUGAAAAGCGGAAACUUGAUUCUUCACAGAGCAAUAAAAUGAAAAAUAACGCAGGUGGAUAGAGUGUAUCAUUUGGAAAAAGCAUCACGUGCCCGAUGACCGAAAAAUCAAUCCGUAAAUUUGUAGCAUUCAAGGCAGUGGAAGACUCCAAUCGUGGAAAAAGGCUAUAGCGGUUUCCAGUACGUACGUUCGGUUGACCAGUGAAUAUUAUGUAUUAUGGAUCAUCAAUCUCUAAUAAGCCUGAAACGAAACAAUUGAUUAGCGUGAUUUAUAGCAUACAUAUUUUUGAUUCGGUGCUCUCGUGGAAGAAAUUCAUUUGUUUAUAAUUUGCUGCAUAACAAACUGUGGACGUCAUAGUGUUUGUUUCAUUUCACUUCGUUCCUUGUUAUUUACUCACAAAAGUCAAAAGAAAAAGCACAAACACCAAGUAAUCAAGUAGAAGGUUAAUCCAUCCCCCAAAAACGCUCAUCGGUCAUUAAAAAAAAUAAAAGCUACUUUUAGCUUAGUGCUACUUGAAGCUAAUUUUCAUCCAUGAAUGUAACAUAGCAGGUCUUUGCAAUAUUCGCUAGAGCUUGGUGAGAGAAGCUUUCUGGAGUCCCGUUCUAAAUUGUAUUCAUCUUUAGAUAAUAUUCUUAUCGAAUUGCAAUAACUUUCAAUUUUUAUAUUUUUUUUAACUCUUUCUUUUUUUUUGGAGAGAGGGGAAGAUGUGUGGCAUAUGAAACGCUAAUGCGAAUAGAGCUUAAUAAUGUUAGUACCAUCAUCCACCGUAGCAAGCGCAACUGUACAGAGCCGUCGUACCAUCAACGCUCUGAAGCACACACGAGCCGAACAUAUCUUCGUUCGACAGUCUUUCGCUGAGCGCUUCGAGGGUCGAUAUUUCUUCAGAAUAUGAUUUGACACUUGAAAGUGUCAAGUCCGAUGAGAAAAUACGAACGCUAGGAAAUAUCCAACCUUAUAGGUAAACCUGAACACUUUGAAUGAAAUAUAAAUUGUAUCCCAUAACAUAUUUUAAUAUU